rnacentral:lncRNA from 1 species
GUUUGGCAAGUGGAGAUCUCUCUCUCUCUCUCUCCUGCCUGAGCAUCAUAUGAGCCACUUCCCUCUGCCACACUCUUCUACCAUGAUGUUCUGCCUCAACACAAGCCCGGAGGAAUGGAGCCAGUUGUCCAUGGACUGAGACCUCUGAAACUGUGAGCCCUCAGAUAAACUUUUCCUUCUCUACAAUUGAGCUGAUUGGGUCUUUUUGUCACAGCAGUGAAAAAGCUGACGAAAACACAAGGAAAUACUUUGGUAGGAGAUGAAGGUAAUGGUCUCCACUGGUUCUAAGUUCUCAAGGUGCAGGUGAGCAUAAGAUGUGCUUCCUUGAGAGACAUAUGGGUGUUCUUCAGGGUCAGCUGGGCCUCUCCUGAGUCUCCUGUUGAGAUGUUCUCAUCUCCAGCCUCUGCAGGUUUCUUGGGAGGAGGUCCAAAUUCAUUUGGUAGAGCAUAGCAGACACACAAUAGGAAGAAUUUGGGCUUGGGAAUAGGACAGACCUGGGUUUCAAUUCCUUCUCCAGUAUUUGUUCUCUUAAUGAUCUUAGAAUACUUCACUUCUUAUAGUCUCAGUUUCCUCAUCUUCAAACUGGGAUUGUUGUGAAGCUUAAGUAAGAAUGAUAUGUGUAAGAAUGCAGUAUGUAUAGUGCUUGGGACAUGCCAAGGACAUGCUUGGGAUACUGAGAAAUGCUAGCCCUGACCGUCAUUGCUCUUACUGCUGUAAGUGUGAGGAAGGCUUACUGUUCUUGGUGAGCCCUAUGCAUUAGCUCAUGCCCACAAGCCCAUGGGAGGGGGGAAUCAAAUAAUAUCAAUGUAGGAAUUUCAAUGAUCGUCCCAAAGACUCUUCAUCCUCAAGUUGGUGACAGUGACAUCUUCAACCCAUGACCUUAUCUUCCCAGAUCCCAUAUGGUUAGGAAGUCUAUGACUUUUGAUGUCGGAGAUGGAACUAUCUAGAAAGAGGAGCUAAACAAGACUUCCUCCACACUCCGCUCUUCAGGUUGUAUCUUAUUAUCAAGCUCAUUUCUGAUGUUCUCUGUGGCUGCCUCCCUUGGUUAAAAACAUGUAAGUAUGGACUAGAGUGAUGGGGCAGGCAGGAUGAGUAUUCACAGGGCUGUACCCCCCACCCCCGGUCUUUGCCACCCAAUGCAGACAUGACCACAAGCUAAAAAUUAGGAAAGGUGUUUUAGCCAGGUAGUCUGGGUGGCAUGUGAGAAUGUGAAGUAGAAAAGUCUCUGCAGAAAAUGG